GACGUAGGAGGCGAGCGUUGUCCGGAUUCAUUGGGCGUAAAGAGCGCGCAGGCGGCUUGGUAAGUCGGAUGUGAAAACCCGAGGCUCAACCUCGGGCGUGCAUCCGAAACUGCUCGGCUAGAGGUAGGUAGGGGAGAUCGGAAUUCCUGGUGUAGCGGUGAAAUGCGCAGAUAUCAGGAGGAACACCGGUGGCGAAGGCGGUUCUCUGGGCCUGUACUGACCGCUGGAGACGCGAAAGCGUGGGGAGCGAACAGG
rnacentral:rRNA from 1 species